rnacentral:rRNA from 1 species
AGUGAACGCUGGCGGUAGGCCUAACACAUGCAAGUCGAACGCCAGCACAGUAAACGUUUGCUCUUACGGGUGGCGAGUGGCGGACGGGUGAGGAAUACAUCGGAAUCUACUUUUUCGUGGGGGAUAACGUAGGGCAACUUACGCUAAUACCGCAUACGACCUAAGGGUGAAAGCAGGGGUUCAUCGGACCUUGCCCGAACGAAUGAGCCGAUGUCGGAUUAGCUAGUUGGCGGGGUAAAGGCCCACCAAGGCGACGAUCCGUAGCUGGUCUGAGAGGAUGAUCGGCCACACUGGAACUGAGACACGGUCCAGACUCCUACGGGGGGCAGCAGUGGGGAAUAUUGGACAAGGGGGGCAAGCCGGAUCAAGCCAUACGGCGUAGGGGAGGAAGGCCUUCGGGUUGUAAAGCCUGUUUGUUGGGAAGGAAGAGCGGGAGGUUAAUACCCCGCUGUUCUGACGGUACCCAAAGAAUAAGCACCGGCUAACUACGUG